rnacentral:rRNA from 1 species
UACGAAGGGGGCUAGCGUUGCUCGGAAUCACUGGGCGUAAAGGGCGCGUAGGCGGCCAUUUAAGUCGGGGGUGAAAGCCUGUGGCUCAACCACAGAAUUGCCUUCGAUACUGGAUGGCUUGAGACCGGAAGAGGUAAGUGGAACUGCGAGUGUAGAGGUGAAAUUCGUAGAUAUUCGCAAGAAUACCAGUGGCGAAGGCGGCUUACUGGUCCGGAUCUGACGCUGAGGCGCGAAAGCGUGGGGAGCAAACAGG